rnacentral:rRNA from 1 species
GACGAACGCUGGCGGCGUGCUUAACACAUGCAAGUCGAACGGAAAGGCCCUGCUUUUGUGGGGUGCUAGAGUGGCGAACGGGUGAGUAACACGUGAGUCACCUGCCCAUGACUUUGGGAUAACUUGAGGAAACUGGGGCUAAUACCGGCUAGGAGCUCCUGCUGCAUGGUGGGGGUUGGAAAGUUUCGGCGGUUGGGGAUGGACUGGCGGGUUAUCAGCUUGUGGGUGGGGGAGUGGCUUACCAAGGGUUUGGCGGGUAGCCGGCCUGGGAGGGUGGCCAGGCUCAUGGGGACUGAGAGACGGCCCAGACUCGUACGGGAGGCAGCGGUGGGGAGUAUUGCACAAUGGGCGGAAGCGUGUUGCAGAAGUGCCGCGUGCGUGAUGACGGCUUUCGGGUUGGAAACCGCUGUCAGCUAUGACGAAGCUGGAUUGACGUUAAUGGGUGAAGAAGCACCGGCUAACUACGUG